GGAGAUCCCCUAGGUGGGCAUACUCUGUUAUAUCUGUUUCCUGACCUCCAAGACCCUUGCUCUGUAGACAGGAGCGUUCUAACCCAGGGCAGGUUUUGAGCUCUGAGAAGUGUGAUGGAUAAUCACAGAUUUAGGAGACCAGACUGAGAGGUCAAGCCCCUGAGCUGUAUGAUGGAGCACAGAGGAGCUAGGGGCGCGGCCUGUGGAGAAGAAUAGCAUCGCCCUUCACAGCCUCCAGACCCAGUUUCUCAGAGGCCAUGGAAGAUGCAUGGUAGCCUCCUGCUAACAUGUCCACAGUAGCUGGCAUCUCAAAGGCCUAGCCCCAACACACUGAUUCCCUAAGGUUAUGUGUGGUUAUAUGUGUGUCUUUGUUUAUGUGCUAGUGUUGCGCCAGGUCGCCUGAAACUCUUAAUCUUCCUCAUGGUCCUGGCAGCUUAUAAGAUUACAUGUGUUAGCCUUUCUUCUAGCCUCUAUGUACCCAUGUGUACACGGGUCACAUGAGCUGAACUCAUUCAGGUGUGCACACAGACACACUAAGUCUUCACACGAUAUCUUAUUUGUGUAUCUUAUGGGACACAGUACAUUAAUCUUACAUAUAUAAACAUGUAUGAUAAAGGGGGAGUGCUUUUAGUCUAUAAGUGGCACACCACAAAACCUCUCAAAGCAGUGGCUGGCUCCUCCUUCCCACCCCAGCCUACAGCCAAAGUAAAAUGCCACUUCAGGAAUUGUUAAAAAUGGCAGCUCCUGUCAAAAUGGCCCCAACAGGACAUCUCAGCCAACAGCCAGCACUGGAGCCUUUCCCACCUCAGCAAGAGAGGCCCCUCAGGAGCUAUCCAUGGCCUACCACACCUCCUCUCAGCCUCUCUGAGCAGCCCCACAGACGUGGAGCAAAAGCCAGCUGAAGCCAGGAAGGACUCCCUAGCCUGACCCUUGGAUGCAAUGCAGGGAAAAGUGGGUGAAAAAGGCCACCAAUCCCUGAGCUCCCAAGCUUAGGAUGUGAGUCCUUGCAAGCAAGCCGCAGCCUUUCCUGGAUUCAUCCAUCCCUUCUCCUCCAGGAUUCUCCCCUUUAAUAAAUCUCCUUUAUGAGUC
rnacentral:lncRNA from 1 species